UCACUAAGGUUCGCUUCAGCGCGAUUAAAAAGGGAAUGGAGUGGAAGUCUCCAACUGUCCCGCAGCUGUAAGUUCCAUUAUGCUCGCAAGCAAGAAGCCACUGUCGCAUUGACGGGAAGGUGUUUGCGGGUGGAACAGAGUCAGAAGACCUGCCUUAUGUUUA
rnacentral:ncRNA from 1 species